rnacentral:rRNA from 1 species
AUGGCUUUUCUAUUACCAAUAAUGGCCACAUUCGGUGCAGUUGGAGAAGCCACUUGUUUAUUGCUUUGUGGUACAUUUUUCUCUUGUUCAAGCUCAAGCGUGCUAUUUGUUUGUGUUUAUGCCAUUCCUGCUUUGUUAGAACAUAUUUUACAUUUCUCAUUCCAUCUCAAAACUGCAGGAUGGAAGUGGAACAUGGAGUACUAUUAUUGGAAUUUCUACAGUGGCCAGGGAUUGGAAAAAAAAAUUAUUUUCCACUCCUAUUUAUCAGUUAUGGAUGACCCCGUCUUCGGACACUUCCUGGUUGAAAGGCAUAUGAGAUAUGGUUUGCUUCUUGUUUGUGUUUGGUAG